rnacentral:rRNA from 1 species
AUGGCGGUAGAAGACGUCGAGAAGACAGCCUUCCUAACCCCGUGUGGGGUGUACUGCUACACAUGCAUGCCAUUCGGGUUGCAUAACGCAGGGGCGACCUUCCAGUGGCUGAUGCACAUCACCUUGGGCCCGCAGCUCGGGAAGAAUGUUGAAGCUUACGUCGAUGACAUUGUGGUAAAGUCUCGGGAGGCCGGGACCUUGAUACAAGACUUGGAGGAAACCUUCGCGAGCCUCAACGCAGUGAACCUACGGCUCAACCCAGAGAAGUGUGUGUUCGGAGUCCCCUUGGGCAAGCUCUUGGGUUUCCUCAUGUCCCACCGAGGCAUCGAGGCUAACCCAGAGAAAGUCAAGGCGGUGGAAGACAUGAGCCCGCCAAAGACCCUCAGAGAAAUGCAGAAGCUCACGGGGCGCGUGACCGCGCUAGGGCGCUUCAUCUCCAAGUUGGGGGAACGAGCACUGCCCUUCUUCCAGCUAAUGAAGAAAAAGGGGCCCUUCGAGUGGACUGAAGAGGCCGACAAGGCGUUCUAG